GACAGAGGAUGCAAGCGUUAUCCGGAAUGAUUGGCGUAAAGCGUCUGUAGGUGGCUUUUAAGUCCGCCGUCAAAUCCCAGGGCUCAACCCUGGACAGGCGGUGGAAACUACCAAGCUGGAGUACGGUAGGGGCAGGAGGGAAUUUCCGGGUGGAGCGGUGAAAUGACGUAGAGAUCGGAAAGAACACCAACGGCGAAAGCAACUCUGCUGGGCCGACACUGACACUGAGAGACGAAAGCUAGGGGAGCGAAUGGG
rnacentral:rRNA from 1 species